rnacentral:lncRNA from 10 species
GCAGUGAGCCGAGACCACGCCACUGCACUCCAGCCUGGGCAACAGAGAGAAACUCCAUCUCAAAAAAAAAAAAAAAAAAAAAAAGACAAGCUCCCAGAACUGCAGCCUCCCACACGCCCAACUGCAGCAGAUGUAUUUGGAUUCUGGCGCCACCACAUCCCCCACUUCCAAUAUUUGCUGGGCGCUAUCUGUGGAGUCCCCCUUACCUCUUCCACUCUCCAGUGGGACCUGAGCAACAGAAGCCACAUAAACGCAUGCAGGCUGUUACCUCAGCUCCCUGACCUGCCCCGAGGGCAGGACUCACAGUGAGAAGGUCCAGCCGCCUCCAAAUUUGCUUCCUGGAGCAUCUGCCCCAAAUGCACAAGCGAGCACCUACCCAUGGGCUUCAGCUGUAGGCGGCUGCAGCCUCAGCCCAAAGGUAUUCGCCAUGAGAAAGGCACCACCUGGCAGCGCCCUGGGCACUUCUGGAAAUGGAAGCCCUUCCUGGGACAUAGCCCAUCACCCUACACGCUGAGAUUCCUAGUAUGCCCCGUGCAGUGGGAGAAGCUCCCCCUAAAACCCUGAUCAAAAUAGAAAUGAGCUCCACUGGCUCCAGCUAAACUCGGCCCUCCUGGAGUGCCACAACCUCCAUGAGCAAACUGCCACGUGCCCUGACUGUGACACGAACUUUAGAAACCCUAGAAAUGCCUCCACCCCUUGCUCAAGGGGAGCCAAAGGGAGGAAGGCCACAGCACUCUCAAGACAGGAAAAGCAAUGCUCUUUCUUUACAGAUGGAGCGAACAUGGGGAAUACGAGAGCCAGACACCCGCAGCCCCGCACCCCAGGCCACCAGUCCACUUUCCUUGUCGGGGAGGGGCCCCAGUGCGGGCAGGCUGAGCUGCGUGCAAUACUCCUAGCAACAGACCAUGCUCUUGGCAAAUAUUUUCCCAAGGUGUUUCACUGACUCCAGGUCAGAGGCUAAUGGGCUGACUACAUAGUUGGGGCAUUAACAGAAUCAAGGCUGAAAAUACAAGGCCCAGACAUUUGGGAUAAAGAGAUGGGGUCAGGGGCAGGGGUGGAAAUUGCCAAAUUCACCCUGCUCUGCCCAUGGUUGUGUACCAUACCUCUGCUCACAUUAAACAAGAUGUGUAGGAGGUGCGAUACCAUGCUGAAGAUGAGCUAACCCAACCAGCCAAGCAGGCAGGGCUGCGAAGGAGGGCGAGUCCUCAGACCCUGGAGACAAGCCACCUGACCCCUUCUACAAAUGGACACAUGAGGUCAAGGCACUUGGGCACCAUGAGGUUGUGAAAAUAUGUUGUUAAGAGAGGAGUUGAUCCAGUGGAGGGACAUUUAAACAAAGUCAUAGGGACCGUACCAGGUGUCAGCAAUCCAGACAUUGGGACCACCUCGUGGGAGGAAACAUUUGGAGAGGAGAAGGGCUACAUUAAAACUGGCAAUUCAACUCCAUUGGGCAUCUCCCUGCAGCAGCUGGAACCGUGAAAUAUGCCUGAACAGCGGUGGAUGCCUACACAGUCAUCUAUUGGCUUACCCAUGCAAGGUAGCAGCCUCUAUUUACGUUAUUGCAGUGUUAGCACAUCAGCUUUUACAGCAUUUGGAUUUGCCACAAGGUGUAUGAUCAGAUCAAGGCUCCUACUUCACCGCAAACAAAUGCAGCAGUGGAUGUUACAAAAUCACAUUACUUGGGUUUUCCACCUACCCCAUCACCCUAAAGAGGCAGGUAUCAGAGACAGACAUGAUGGGAUUUUUUUUUUUUUAGAAUUGGAGGCCGGGAACGGUGGUUCACGACUGUAAUACCAGCACUUUGGGAGGCCGAUGCAGGUGGAUCACCGGAGGUCAGGAGUUUGCAACCAGCCUGGCCAACAUGGUGAAACCACAUCUCUACUAAAAAUACAAAAAUUAGCCAGGUGUGGUGGCGCACACCUGUAGUCCCAGCUACGUGGGAGGCUAAGGCAGGAGAAUCGCUUGAACCCAGGAGACAGAGGUUGCAGUGAGCCGAGAUCACACCACUGUACUCUAGCCUGGGGGACACAGCAAGACUCUGUCUCAAAAAAAAAAAAAAAGAGUUGUAGAUGAGGUCUUGCUAUGUUGCCUAGGCUGGUCUUGACCAGCUAGGCUCAAGUGAUCCUCCCACUUCAGCCUCUGAAAGUUCUGGGAUUACAAGCAUGAGCCAAUGUGCUCCACCCACAGUGGGCUUUUAAAACAAGGACUAUUGAGAGAACCUGUAGGAAAAUGCCCCACCAAGUGGUAAAAAAAAUACUGCCCAUAGGCCUGAUCAUUAUUUCACAUGCCUAUGCCAUAACUACACCAUAUUGAAAUUCACGAUAAAUGAGGAGACUGCCAACAGGACACUGCCACCCCUGCCGGUGUACACGCCCACACCAGAGAUAGUUACCGGCUUUCACAAGACUCAGGAGCCUUGAUGUAGUUCCCACAGCAAAGGAACUUUCAUCUGGUACUUUCAUAUUUACCUUCUGCCUCCUGGAGAGUGCAGGGCCGAGCCACUUCCCUUCAAUCCCAAUGAGGAUCUGACAAGGACCACCCACUAGAACCAUCCUCAGCCUGUGUCUCCUCACCCGGUGGAGCAGCAAACCACCUGCCACCAUCUGCGGAGAGAGACGCCCUCAUCCGCCGCCCAUGUCCUCCACUGAAGGUACCGUGGGACACACCUGGACCUGUUCCCCACACCCAGGACAUGCACUCAUCACCUCUGAACCACUAAUACCACUUGAGCAAUACCCAAAGGACAAUCUAAUCCCUACUCCUGGCCACAGGUGACCUCUGACUUUAACCCCUACUCUGUUGCUGUGCCCUUUUCUUACCUGAGAAGCUCAUACCCUCACCAGUGUCAAGUACACAUCCACUGAUGGAACACCCUACCCUGAUCAUCUACACCCUACUGCUGACCAAGGUGCCCCCUCGAGAAGCCAAGAUCAUGUCCUAUGCCAGUUGAUUAUGAAGGAUCACUCUGCUUGCAGAAGUACUUAUCAUCCUUUGGCAAUGAUGGUGGUGGUUUUGAUUACCUUUUCAGGGAGAAAAAAAAAAAACGACUAAAAUUGGAAGAGCAGAGAAGGAACUGCCUUGAGUUGGGUUGAGACCCCACAAACUCUGAGAUGACAGCAAAGGAGCCAUGGAAAACAAGGAAACUAUCCCACUCUCCAAGCCCCUGCCAGAGAACUUUAACUAAAAACAGUCUCUUUAGAACAACUACUGACAAUACCACCCUGGACUGAAAACCACUGACCUUCAGGAAAACUCAGUAAUAAAAUUCCUCAAGUUAAAGUCCCAGAAAUCUUGACUUGCUAAGGAGCUGGACUGAUUUCUUUUUGUGGAGAAUGCAAAUCACAUUAUUGAUCAUGUUAUGUUACCCUUUUCACUGAAGCUGCCAGUCAAAAUGUUUUGCUUAUAGUCAAAAUUUUAGCUAAGUUUCUAUGAAGUAAGGCCAGGUGAUCUGUGUAUCUUCACAGCAAUUUUGCCUGUUGAUCAUCUAUUCUCUCUAAAUUUCUCUAAUCCUUAUUUUCAACUAAUUGCCCUUUCUCAUUUUGUUGUGGGAAAACCAAGUGGCAAACAAAUAACUUACCUGGGACUCAAUCAUUUUCUGUUUCUCUUUGGAAAGCAGUUGGGGGCGGGGUGGGGUGCAGAAGAGUCUUCGGAGAUCAAGCUGAGUUAACCACUCUUCAACAGCUGGAUGUGACAAUGUGUUGCUUGUUAAUUCAUUGAUGACUUGUGUUUCUCAUCUGACUCGGUAAUUCCAUUUCCGGAACUUCGUCCUAAGGUAAUAAUCAUGGAUAUGUGCAGAUAUUUAACCACAGAAACCUUCAACACAGUUUUGUCUUUAACACCAUAUUAUUGAAAAUAACACAAAUGCCCAGCACUAAAGACUGCUGCAAAGGCAGGCAGCCCUUAAAAGCAACACUCCAGAUGAUUCAAAAAGGUUCAGGAAACACCACCAGCAAAUGUAAAGUAUGGUCUUGUCUGGCUCUUUACUUGAAUAAACAAAAGAAAUUUUUGAGAUAAUCAUGAAAGUUUGAACCCUGACUAGAUAUUUGAUAACAUUAAGGAAUUUAACCAUUGAUUAUCUGAAGAUAUUAUUGCUAAUUAUUUUACCUUAGGGUAACAGCAUCAACCUUUAAGGCCUUAUCUUUUUCAUAAUGAAGCAUGUAUGGAUGAAAAUAUGUGUCUGGGAUUUGUUUCAAAAUAAUAAAGACUACCCAUGUAAAAAGUCAUUGAACUGCAUACAGGCCGGGUGCGGUGGGCCAGCACGUUGGAAGGCCAAGGCGGGUGGAUUGCCUGAGCUCAGGAAUUGGAGACCAGCCUGAGCAACAUGGCGAACCCCAUCUCUACUAAAAAAAUGCAAAAAGCAGCCAGGCGUGGUGGUGCAUGCUUGUAAUCCCAGCAUGUUGGGAGGCGGAGGUGGGCAAAUUGCUUGAGCCCAGGAGUUGAAGACCAGCCUGGGCAACAUAGGGAGACCCAUCUCUACAAAAAAUUAGCCUGGCGUGGCGGUGCACAGCUGUAAGCCCAGCACUUUGGGAGGCUGAGGCAGGCAGAUGGCUUGAGCCCAGGAGUUCGAGACCAACCUGGUCAACAUGGCAAAAUUCGCCUCUACUAAAAAUACAAAAAUUAGCCAGGCGUAGUGGUGGGCGCCUGUAUUCCCAGCUACUAGGGAGACUGAGACAUGAGAAUCACUUGAACCCAAGGAGGUGGCAUUUGCAGUGAGCCGAGAUUGAGCCACUGCACUUCAGCCUGGGCAACGAGCGAGUGAGGAAAGAGGAAAGAAAGGCAAGAAAGGCAGGAAGGAAGGCAGGAGGGAAGGCAGGAAGGAAGGCAGGACAGAAGGCAGGAAGGAAGGCAGGAAGGAAGGGAGGGAGGGAGGAAGAAGGAAGGAAGGAAGGAAGGAAGGAAGGAAGGAAAGAAAAGAAAAGAAAAGAAAAAAGAAAAGAAAAGAAAAGAAAAGAGGGAGGGAGGGAGAGAGGAAGGAAGGAAGGAAGGAAGGAAGGAAGGAAGGAAGAAAGGGAGGAAGGGCAUUCCGGGAGGAAGAAGUGAGGGGGUGGCCUAGAUGAGGACUUGGCAAACUUUUUCUGUAAAAGGGUCAUAUGGUAAAUGUUUUCAAUUUUGUGGGUUCUGUGGUCUCUGCUGUAACUACUCAGCCCUGCCAUUGCAGGUUGAAAGUAGCCCUAGACAAUACAUAAACUAAAGGUGUUCACUGGCUGUGUUCCAAUUAAACAUCAUUUUUGGGCACUGACAUUUGAAUUUUAUAUCAUUUUCAUGGGUCACAAAAUAUUCUCCAUUUGAUUUUUUUCCAAUGAUAAAAAGUGUGAAAAAACCAUUUCUUAGCUCAUGGCUGUAUUUUUUUUUUAAAAAGCAACAUGUCAUAUUUGGCCCACUGCCCAGUUUUCCAGCCCCUGGUCUAGAUAAAACAAGAUGGGCCAUGAGUUGAUGACUGAUGAGACUGGGUGGUGGGCAUAAUGGGGUUCCAUUAUACAAUUCCCUCUAUUUUUGUGGAUGCUUGAAAAUUUCCAUAAGAAAGGUUUAUAGUUAAGUAUUACCAUAGAAAUAAACCAAGUCGUACUACGGGAAUUAAGUUAAUGGCAUGGAAACAUCACUGUAAAAUGAAGAAGAGGCAGAACACAAGAAUGUAUUCCUAAUUGUUUAAUAACAGAAUAACAGGCCAGGGGUGGUGGCUCACACCUGUCAUCCCAGUACUUUGGGAGGCCAAGGCAAGAGGAUUGCUUGAGUCCAGGAGUUCGAGGCCAGCCUGAGCAACAUAGUGAGACCUCGUUUCUACAAAAAAUAAACAAAAUUAGCCGGGCGUGGUGGUGCACACCUGUAGUCCUGGCUACUUGGCAGGCUGAGGCAGGAGAGUCACUUGAAUCCGGGAGGCGGAGGUUGCAAUGUGCUGAGAUCACGCCAUUGCACUCCAGCCUGGGCAACAGAAUGAGACCCUGUCAAAGAAAAAAAAAAAGGAAAAGAAAAGAAAACAAAAAAAAAAUACCAUGUAGAUCACACAUUCUCACUGGGGGGUGAUACUGCCCCCAAGGGGACAAAAAUUAGUUCUUGGAGGCAAAACAAAACAAAACAAAACAAAAACAAAAAAAAGCUUCUUAGAUAUUACAAUGGGUUGUGACCCUCCAAAGCAACCAUAGCUGACAAAACCUUAUUCCUUGGUAUUUAAUUUCCUUCACCAGAUUUUGGUAUUACAUGAGCAGCAGUAACCUUGAGUUCAAGGAAGAUCCAUGAAAUAUAUACAAAAUUAGUGCUGCAAAACUAUGGCGAAUAGGUAACAUUCAGGUAUUAACUCACUUCUCAUCCCAAGCCUCACAGGGUAGGCCCUGCUAUUAUCCUCAUUUCGCAGUGGGAAACUGAUGCCUAGAGAGGUUUCAUGAGUUGUCUAAGAUCACACUGCCAGUGAUUUAGAGCGAGGUGGUAGAGGAACAAAAAGUAAAGAACUCCUCCCAAGCUGUCCUAGCACUAAGAUUUUCAGGCAACACCCCUUGCUUCUGGAUGCCCUAAAAAAUUAGUUAUCCUCCUAAAUUCCACAGGACAUUGUCUGUUUUUUUUUUUUUUGUUUUUUGUUUUUUGUUUUUGAGAUGGAGUCUCGCUCUGUCGCCCAGGCUGGAGUGCAGUGGCGCGAUCUCGGCUCACUGCAAGCUCCGCCUCCCUGGUUCACUCCAUUCUCCUGCCUCAGCCUCCCCAGUAGCUGGGACUACAGGAGCCCGCCACCACGC